UACGUAGGUGGCAAGCGUUAUCCGGAUUUAUUGGGCGUAAAGGGAACGCAGGCGGUCUUUUAAGUCCGAUGUGAAAGCCUUCGGCUUAACCGGAGUAGUGCAUUGGAAACUGGGAGACUUGAGUGCAGAAGAGGAGAGUGGAACUCCAUGUGUAGCGGUGAAAUGCGUAGAUAUAUGGAAGAACACCAGUGGCGAAAGCGGCUCUCUGGUCUGUAACUGACGCUGAGGUUCGAAAGCGUGGGUAGCAAACAGG
rnacentral:rRNA from 1 species